GUCAACUGUUAUUUAGGUUUUCUGGCAUAAGAAGUCAGUCAUCCUGAAGGUCAGGCAUUUCAGUCUGUAAGUCACUGAUGCUAAUCUCCAGAAUAUACUGCGAUACACUAGAUUUCGAAAUGAGGUUCUUCCCAGUCUAUGAAGCUUCAGUGCAAACUGCUGCCCUUCUUCAUUUGCAACAAUGUAAAUAUCUAGAGCACAAAUUGUAAAAACAUCAUUAAGACACUGUUACUACAAUGG